rnacentral:rRNA from 1 species
AUACGUAGGUGACAAGCGUUAUCCGGAUUUACCGGGCGUAAAGGGCGCGUAGGCGGUCUUGCAAGUCAGAAGUGAAAUUCCCGAGCUCAACUCGGGAGCUGCUUCUGAAACUGCAGGACUUGAGUGCUGGAGGGGAUAGCGGAAUUCCUAGUGGAGCGGUAAAAUGCGAAGAUAUUAGGAAAAACACCUGUGGCGAAGGCGGCCCACUGGACAGUAACUAUGCCUGAGGAGGGAAGGCGUGGGGACAAAACAGAAUUAAGUACCCUGGUAGCCCCCGCCGUAAACAAUGAAUACUAGGUGUAGGGGGUAUCAACUCCCUCUGGGCCGCAAUUAACCCAAUAAGUAUCCCGCCGGGGGAGAAGGGCCGCAAGUUUGAAACCCAAAGGAAUUGACGGG